rnacentral:rRNA from 1 species
GUCACUCCCAACCCAUGUGACGUUACCAAACUGUUGCCUCGGCGGGGUCACGCCCCGGGUGCGUCGCAGCCCCGGAACCAGGCGCCCGCCGGAGGAACCAACCAAACUCUUUCUGUAGUCCCCUCGCGGACGUAUUUCUUACAGCUCUGAGCAAAAAUUCAAAAUGAAUCAAAACUUUCAACAACGGAUCUCUUGGUUCUGGCAUCGAUGAAGAACGCAGCGAAAUGCGAUAAGUAAUGUGAAUUGCAGAAUUCAGUGAAUCAUCGAAUCUUUGAACGCACAUUGCGCCCGCCAGUAUUCUGGCGGGCAUGCCUGUCCGAGCGUCAUUUCAACCCUCGAACCCCUCCGGGGGAUCGGCGUUGGGGAUCGGGACCCCUCACACGGGUGCCGGCCCCGAAAUACAGUGGCGGUCUCGCCGCAGCCUCUCCUGCGCAGUAGUUUGCACAACUCGCACCGGGAGCGCGGCGCGUCCACGUCCGUAAAACACCCAACUUUCUGAAAUGUUGACCUCGGAUCAGGUAGGAAUACCCGCUGAACUUAAGCAUAUCAAUAAGCGGAGGAAAAGAAAAUUUUU